GGCAACCUACAACAAGCAGUUUUUGUGACUUGAUAUCAAGAAUGUUUGACCCCUAUCUGCUUUAGCUGCACUACUAUCACUUGUUCAGCUGCACCCUGCGGGUCAAGGGCUAUAAGAUAGUUACUAUUUUUUCUAGUGUUGACAAGACCUAGCAGUUAGUGAACUGUCCUGUCAGUCAUUGAACAGUCCUGCUUGAGACAAUAGACCUCCACACCACAGAGCCCUUCACUGUGCCUUUAAAGGACAAUUUAUCCUUGUGAUACAAGGUAGUCUUGCCUGAAGAUUCACUUGUUUUAGGUGUUUUUUCCAGUCUUUUCCCUGUGGGAGAUUCCACUUUCCAUUGGAGGAAUAUCAAGGGCCUGGAGCGAUUCAGAGUAGAGGCUACUUUAUUUUCAGGCCACGCAAUGGAAGGAGAUCAGCAGGUUUCCGCUAAAAAGAAUUUUUGAUUCCUGACCUAGAAUCACUGCUGUGGGAACACAGAGUAUAUGGACAAAAUGAAUUUCCCCACAAAAAUUACUCUUUACUAUUUGUACAAUUCUUAAAAAUCACUAGAAU